rnacentral:rRNA from 1 species
AGAGUUUGAUUCUGGCUCAGAACGAACGCUGGCAGCGUGGAUUAGGCAUGCAAGUCGAACGUGAAGCCAAUGAACAAUCUUUCGGGAGAGUGAUUUGGUGGAAAGUGGCGAAAGGGUGAGUAACGCGUGGGUAAGCUACCCCGAAGUUUGGGACAACCCGCCGAAAGGCGGGCUAAUACCAGAUGUGGUCGCUGGAUGCAUAUCCGGACGAUUAAAGGUGGGGAUUCUUCGGAACCUGCCGCUUUGGGCGGUGCCCGCGUGCCAUCAGCUUGUUGGUAGGGUAAUGGCCUACCAAGGCUUACGGCUAGCCGGCCUGAGAGGGUGACCGGCCACACUGGGACUGAGACACUGCCCAGACUCCUACGGGAGGCUGCAGUCGAGGAUCAUUCGCAAUGCGCGAAAGCGUGACGAUGCGACGCUGCGUGGAGGAUGAAGGCCUUCGGGUCGUAAACUCCUGUCAUGAGGGAACAGCCGGCGAUGGGUUAAUACCCUAACGCCCCGAUGGUACCUCAAGAGGAAGCCACGGCUAACUCUGUGCCAGCAGCCGCGGUAAUACAGAGGUGGCGAGCGUUGUUCGGAUUUACUGGGCGUAAAGGGUGCGUAGGUGGUUUCGUAUGUCGGAUGUGAAAGCCCAUGGCUCAACUGUGGAAUUGCAUUCGAAACUGCGGAACUAGAGUGCAGGAUGGGAGAGCGGAAUUCUUGGUGUAGCGGUGAAAUGCGUUGAUAUCAAGAAGAACACCGGUGGCGAAGGCGGCUCUCUGGAAUGUCACUGACACUGAGGCACGAAAGCUGGGGGAGCGAACAGGAUUAGAUACCCUGGUAGUCCCAGCCGUAAACGGUGCACACUUGGUGUGGGGAGAUUUAACCCUCUCCGUGCCGGAGCUAACGCGUUAAGUGUGCCGCCUGGGGAGUACGGCCGCAAGGCUAAAACUCAAAGAAAUUGACGGGGGCCCGCACAAGCGGAGGAGCAUGUGGCUUAAUUCGAUGCAACGCGAAGAACCUUACCAGGGCUUGACAUAUACCUGCACGCCCCUCGAAAGGGGGGAAGCCUUUGAGGGUGGUAUACAGGUGCUGCAUGGCUGUCGUCAGUUCGUGCUGUGAGGUGUUGGGUUAAGUCCCGCAACGAACGCAACCCUUGUGGUUAGUUGCCACCGGCGGUGAUGAGCCGCCGAGCACUCUAGCCAGACUGCCCGUACAAGCGGGAGGAAGGUGGGGAUGACGUCAAGUCAGUAUGGCCCUUACGCCCUGGGCUGCACACGUGCUACAAUGGGCGGUACAAUGGGAUGCAAUACCGCGAGGUGGAGCAAAUCCCUAAAGCCGCCCCAGUUCGGAUUGAAGUCUGCAACUCGACUUCAUGAAGUUGGAUUCGCUAGUAAUGGCGCAUCAGCUACGGCGCCGUGAAUACGUUCCCGGGCCUUGUACACACCGCCCGUCACAUCAUGAAAGCCGUCUGCACCCGAAGUCGCUGAUCCAACCCGCAAGGGAGGAAGGCGCCGAAGG